AUUGAAACAGAAAGGAUUUUUGCCGUUCAAAGAAAAGUAAAGUUUUUUUGCCCCCAAAUUUGUUGGCGCCUCUCUUCCCGCUAAACGAUUCCCACACGACUCUUCGAAUUUGAUCGGCAGUUAUGCAAAUCUCUCUCUCUCUCUCUGUGACACCAAAGCUUGAUUCUCUGUAGUGCGUAGAACCUUCACUAGAUCUCCCCACACGUAGUUAGAAACCCACGUCAGUUAAUUUUGGGAAGCUUCAUUAGUGAAUCGUGAUUUGUUUCUGGAAGGACAAAGAAACAAUGGAAUCUCCUGUUGGAGAUAGACGAGGAAAAAGUUGCCCAAUUGUGUGAGUAAAUCUUUGGUCUUUAUGUUCAUAGCUAGUCUUUCAUUUAUUUCAACCCACUUCGUUGCUACUCCUAUCUCGGUGUGUUGGAUCCUUGUCGGUGUAAUUACUAGUUUUUGAUUUAGUCGGUUAGGUCGAUGCACAUAUGUUUCUUAAUGCUGAUCCUGUUCGACAAAAUGCCUCACUCAUCAUCAUAAUGAUGACAUCAAUGGUCUUACGGUUUGGCUAAUGUCUUGAGGAAGUUAAAACGAAUUUCACUCUAAAUUAUCUGUAAUAGUUAUAAUUGUUGAUUAUUUAUGGCCGCUGGUUUUUCUUCUAGCCGUCAGCACUUAACAAUUUAGUAUAUCCCCGAAUGGAACUAGCAAGGCACUAGUUCAGUAAUAUGCGGUACAUGUGUGCCCAUUUGAGGUUUUUUUCAUGAUAACCAGAUGUUCAAGCCAAGUUGCAUGAAACUCGACUAAUUUGGGAGCCCUAAAAAAUGAUCAAGCAAAUCCUCCAGUGGCCCCAAGGUUUAGGAUAUUUGGCUUCCACGGGAUUCGAUCAUGCAACCUUAUGGAGGACAAAUACUUAUGAUCUUUCUCAUGUCCAUUUGGCCAAGCCCCUUGAGAUUAGUGCCCAUUUGGCUUAUUAUGAUUUCAUGUUUGUAGGACUUCAGAUUUAUGAACUUUAGGGCCUUAGGCUUAAUUUUAUUCUUCUAGUUUCCUUUCUUUCUAACUUCCUUGAUAAAGUGGGACGCAGCUGCUCUGGAAUACGCCAUUUUUGCAUUCCUUUAUCUAUGUACAUUCAUAUAAUGUUGUGUAUUCACUAUGCAUGUGAGUAUCCAAAUGUGGGCACUUUUUGUAUUGUUAGUUUCUUUUAAUUUGACUGGAAUAUGUUCACAUUUAUGUAUUAUGUUCAUCCAGCUUACAAUCUAGUUGAGGAAGUUUUGGAACAGGUGCAUCAUGAAUAUUUGGUAAAGUGCACAUGUAUUACAGUAUUCGAUUCCAAGUGCUUGUAUAUUGUGGGCAGGUAGUUUUUUGGAGGAAUGAAAGAGGAGAGGAAGUUUUAUGAGUAGCAAGGUUAAGGAUAUGCAUCUAGACGAUUUGUAUGGUCACAUCUCCCUAACAUGAGGCAAACCCCGUAAAGUACUAGAGCGAGAUAAUUCUUUGUAGAAGUGGUGUCUUACUAGCACUGACAAUCGGUACUGUUCAAGAAGCAUGGACGGGGCCAAUCCAAGUGAAGUGUACAGAGAGAAACAACUUGGUUCCUAUACCUUUGAUAUUACUACCGUGUCUAUGUAACUAGAGGGGAAACAUGCCAUUGUAGCGGCAUCGGCUCUUGGGGUAACAAAUUAUUGUUUUAGGAUAUUGGAAUAUUGUUAGAUUUUGGAAAUGUAGAUGUAUUCUGUACAAGUACACUUAUAAGUGUUAGGAAUUGUAAUUAGUUGUUGAAUGUAUUUCAAUGCAAUUGAAAUUGAUAUGGUUGAAAUUACUUGAUA